rnacentral:rRNA from 1 species
GAGCGGAUGAGAAGAGCUUGCUCUUCGAUUCAGCGGCGGACGGGUGAGUAAUGCCUAGGAAUCUGCCUGGUAGUGGGGGACAACGUUUCGAAAGGAACGCUAAUACCGCAUACGUCCUACGGGAGAAAGCAGGGGACCUUCGGGCCUUGCGCUAUCAGAUGAGCCUAGGUCGGAUUAGCUAGUUGGUGAGGUAAUGGCUCACCAAGGCGACGAUCCGUAACUGGUCUGAGAGGAUGAUCAGUCACACUGGAACUGAGACACGGUCCAGACUCCUACGGGAGGCAGCAGUGGGGAAUAUUGGACAAUGGGCGAAAGCCUGAUCCAGCCAUGCCGCGUGUGUGAAGAAGGUCUUCGGAUUGUAAAGCACUUUAAGUUGGGAGGAAGGGCAUUAACCUAAUACGUUAGUGUUUUGACGUUACCGACAGAAUAAGCACCGGCUAACUCUGUG